rnacentral:misc_RNA from 1 species
AAGUCGUAACAAGGUUUCCGUAGGUGAACCUGCGGAAGGAUCAUUACCAAAAUAUCAAUUUACUCAACCCAUGUGCACGGUGAAUGAACUGUCUUGGUUUUUGGGGUGGGCAUUAAAACUGUUCACCCCAACCAUUUUGUUAAACAACUUUAUCACAUUUUCAUGGCAUUUGUACAUUUUGUCUAAUUAAUGACAACUUUUAACGGUGGAUCUCUUGGCUCGUGGAUCG